AUGAUUACCAGCUUGCUGGUAUGAUUAGUGGCGAACGGGUGAGUAAUGCUUAGGAAUCUGCCUAUUAGUGGGGGACAACAUUCCGAAAGGAAUGCUAAUACCGCAUACGUCCUACGGGAGAAAGCAGGGGAUCGCAAGACCUUGCGCUAAUAGAUGAGCCUAAGUCGGAUUAGCUAGUUGGUGAGGUAAAGGCUCACCAAGGCGACGAUCUGUAGCUGGUCUGAGAGGAUGAUCAGCCACACUGGGACUGAGACACGGCCCAGACUCCUACGGGAGGCAGCAGUGGGGAAUAUUGGACAAUGGGCGAAAGCCUGAUCCAGCCAUGCCGCGUGUGUGAAGAAGGCCUUUUGGUUGUAAAGCACUUUAAGUGGGGAGGAAAAGCUUGUGGUUAAUACCCAUAAGCCCUGACGUUACCCACAGAAUAAGCACCGGCUAACUCUGUGCCAGCAGCCGCGGUAAUACAGAGGGUGCAAGCGUUAAUCGGAAUUACUGGGCGUAAAGCGAGCGUAGGUGGCUGUUUAAGUCAGAUGUGAAAGCCCCGGGCUUAACCUGGGAACUGCAUCUGAUACUGGACAGCUAGAGUAGGUGAGAGGGGAGUAGAAUUCCAGGUGUAGCGGUGAAAUGCGUAGAGAUCUGGAGGAAUACCGAUGGCGAAGGCAGCUCCCUGGCAUAUACUGACAC
rnacentral:rRNA from 1 species